CCAAACAGAUAGACUCCAUCUUCACUCUGGCCAAACUGAUCAGCUGGAUUUCUUCUAGGCGUAGUUAUCCCAAGCGGAUAGAUACCAAAUUAGAGAUGGGGGUCGAUCUCAAUUCGAAUUUGAGAAGGAGAUACCUUCUUGUAUUCCCAGUAAAAGGGAGGGCUCCGUCGCUCUGCUCUAUACCCCUUCUCCUACAGGCAAAAUCUGAAAUUGCUCUAUUGUGCGGAGAAAUUGGAUUGAGCAUUUGGUGUGGCAAUUGGACGAGCGACUGGUGUGCAAUGUUAACAUGAACCAAUUUGAUUUCUGGUACGGUACACCACUCUGAAUGAAAAAGGAUCAUGUAUAUGGCACCGCUUCAUUUCGAUUAACAUAAUUGCCACCACGAAACAAGUGUUCAGAUCUGAAUUGCUUUGUCUAUGAUCACUUAAAGUUGUCCCCAUUUUGCUGUUGUGCCACCUGCUAUUACACAUUCACACCACCGUUUCGAUUAAAAGCACUUUUGUCUUUUCCUAUUUUUCUUCUUUGAUUAAAAGAUGAGCACGGUUAAGCAUGUAUGUCUUGGUCAAAAUUGCAUUCAAUACCAUUCUACAGCCCACUUGUUUAAUUAUAUCACAUCACCGCUUCAAAAUAGCUGACCAAAUUAAUUAAAUCCGUCACCCCUUCACAAAGCAUUUACCAUUACAACUUAGCUUGUCUCAUCUUGUAUUUCUUGUUAAUUAAAUCCACAUAGCUUUGUUUUUUAAUUAACAAUUCAAAGCUUUCAUGUGUGCAAAUUUAGCUGACCACGAAGCCCUGCUGCCAAUUUUACAGAGGUCACAGAGAAGGAUUAAAAACAACUUUUAAAGGGUGAGGCUUUGAUCAUUUCUCUUGGUUGAUUGACUUUGUAUGGCUUGUUUUGGGAAGUGGUGGUGCAAGGCUUUUACUAUGGUGGAAGAAGGAAAACGAGGCAGGGCGGGGAGCUUCUUGUGUGAUGUAUAUUGCUGAGAUUGAAGGAAGAAAGUGUGGCGUCUUGUGCAGAUUUUUAGCGUUGGAACUUGGCCAUUCAUGAAUGACUCUACUUUCCAGCGUUAGAAACUGCAGCAGCCAAGCACGUUGAGACUCCGGCCGUUCAUGAACGACCAUAUUAGUCUAAACGCAAGAGGAGAGUUUCAUGAAGCCGGGCCGUUCAUGAACGACCAUGUAUUUCUUGGUAGCUUAAGAGAGUCACAACAAAAGAGUAAAGGUUGUUCAAGAACAACCUAUCUUUUGUUGACAACAAGCUUGCUGAACAGUAUUUCCCUGCCAAAGAGCACGACAUAAAUUGUAUACUUGAGCUUCACCUUCUAGGGUUUGAAUUGUUGAUGGAUCUGCUUGGCUUCACACUUUGUUUUGGCAGGACUGUAGCUUGUUUUUUGAAUAUUUUUCUCCUCUAUCUCUCUAUCCCUCUGUGUGUUUCUCUUCAGCGUGGCCACCUUUAUAUAAUAGUGGUUGAGAAAAUUUUCAACUCA